GCCUGGGUGGCUCAGUCGGUCGAGCGUCCAACUUCAGCUCAGGUCAUGAUCUCACAGUUUGUGGGUUCAAACCCCACGCCAGGCU
rnacentral:tRNA from 1 species